rnacentral:lncRNA from 1 species
UUGCUUGCUUGGAUCCCAUCCAAGGAUCUAGCCCAAGUCCAAUUUGAAGCCUUUGGGGUUCGAUUUAAAACCAGAUUGGGUUUGCUGGAACUAACUCAAUUUAAUUGGGUUCGGACCCAAAUCAAUUUGGGCUUAAUUCGGUUCGGAUUUGACCCAAUUUGCAGUUUGGGCUCGUCUAGACUUAGCCCAAUUUAAUUAGGCUCGGGUUCAGGUUCAAUUGGCUAAAUCAAUUUCUUAUUAUUGGGCUUAACGGGUUUCGAACCCGAACCCCGAUCCG